AAUACUGUUUUCAUAAGCUAAGCAGGUUUUUAGCAGUAACUAAUUUCAUUCAUGUACCUCAGUUCUUCAUUAUCUAUUUACAGGGUGAAUUAAAAAUGUCCUAAAUAUCUUCGGGAAGCAUUAUUUACACAGGUGUACAGUAGCGGUUUAUGAUACGGGCGACACGGACGGUUGCCCAGGGCAGCAUCGUGGUGGGGGCCGGCAUGACGGGCAUCGGCAAAAAAAAAAAAAAAAAAAAAAAAUGAUCGUACUCAUGCUGCCCCGACGUCAUGCCAGCGCAUAUUGGGAAUGGCAUUGGCACCGAUCGGUAGUGACAGCGUGCACCGGACCACGCUUGAUAUUUGAGGAAAUCGAUGGUACAUUUGUGUGUGAAUCCGAGAAGAGGAACCACUGAGAGCCUCAGAUUAACCAAUAAGUCAGAUCGCUGUCUCGACUUCUCCUCAUCCUUCUUCGUUCCCUUGGUUUUUUAAGUACCUCAUAUAUGUUGGGAUUCUUUAGCUAGUUAGCCAUCACAUUAGCAAACUGCUUCGGAGCACAGCUGACGGAGUCGCGGGUUUUCUUGAAUCAGGCGUUGGACCUGCUGGAGGAAUGCUCUGCGAUGAUGGUGGAAAACAACCGCCAUUCAACCCAUUUGAGAGAUUCAAAGAACUGGCUACAGGUGCCAGGCCAGAGGGGGGUUGUGCGUCGGGCGUGUGUGUGCCAGCUGAAGCUGCCGCUGCUGUCUCGACGGCUGCUUUAUUUUGGCUCCAGUUGCUAUAGCGACCCCGUGGGACUUUCUCUGUGUCUGAACCAGUGAUUGGAUCAAUGCUAGCCAGCACCAGAUGCAGAGGCCUGUGUGUUUAGUUUAGCAAUGUAUUCAGCACGUAAAAUGUGAAUGGGUUUUUCAAAACUCAUAAUCCAAAAUGAAAUGUAUGAUUAAAUACUAAUCUUUUUGUUCUAUGUUUAGAAAAACACACACACACAAACAAAACCCAAACAGGUGGAUUAUCUGAUUAAAGUCCCAAACUUUCAACA